AUGCCUCCCUUGGGAUCCUGCCGCCCCAGGGCACCAGGAGAUCCAGCUCUCUGGGAGGCCAGGAAACCAUCCCAAAGCCGUGUCUCCCUGCUGAGGGACACAACAUUCGCCCAAAGCCUGGGCAAUCCUCUUAGGGCUGUUCCCCAUUGUAAACAGCAUGGUAGGAGUUUCCAAGCAGGAGAGUGCACAGAGGCCUGGUUGAACUCUCUGGGAAGCCCUGAGCCAUCUACCCAGAGGAAGGAAUUAUUUUGCCCCAGGAAACUCAUUUAUAGUGAAAUGAGUGAAAGGUCUGGGCAUCUGGCCCCACGUGGGGCUUGUUCUCGGGUUAUUGCUUUAGCACCGUUUCAUCUGGCUCUCUGGAGCUUGGGACAUCUCCCUGCCAACAUCACACCUGGUUUCAACUGGAAGGGAGAGGACUUCAGAUUUUCAUCUUCUGGGCCUCUUUGUUAUUAUUGGAGCCAAGCCAAGAUGAACACCGAGCUUUGACGGCUUCUGUACAAAGUGGGAUUUGAGAGUGGCAGCUUUCUUGGUUGGAGAACUGCUCAGGACAGGUAGCCGAUACACCUACCAAACUGCCUAGUGGGAGCUGGAGGGUCAUGUUCUCACCUGAUUGGUGUUCCCAAUAGAUGUCCUCCUCUGAUCCAGGUACUGUUCCAACCACUAACUCCUCUGUGCUUUGCAAUUUCCCAGGAUGUCAGAAUCCAUAUGUAUUUCUUUCUCUUUUUGUGGAAUAUGAUUGCUUUACAAUGUUGAGUUAUUUUCUGCUAUACAACAACAUGAAUCAAGCAUAUGUGUGUGUGUGUAUAUAUAUAUAUCUUCCCUCUUGAGCCUCUCUUCCACCCCUACCCCCAUCCUACCCUUCUAGGUCAUCACGAGCACUGAGCUGAGCUCCCUGAGCUAUGUAGCAGCUUCCUUCUAGCUAUCUAUUUUACAUAGGGUCAUAUAUGUAUUUCCAUGCUACGCUUUCUAUUUAUCCCACCCUUUCCUUCUACAAGGACAGGGUCCACAAGUCCUUCUCUACAUCUGUGCCUCUAUUUUUGUGCUGUAAAUGGGUUCAUCCCCAUACCAGUUUUCUAGAUUCCAUAUUUAAAUAUGUAUAUGAUGCUAAAGCUGAAACUCCAGUACUUUGGCCACCUCGUGCAAAGAGCUGACUCAUUGGAAAAGACUGAUGCUGGGAGGGAUUGGGAGCAGGAGGAGAAGGGGACAACAGAGGAUGAGAUGGCUGGAUGGCAUCACCGACUUGAUGGACAUGAGUUUGAGUGAACUCCGGGAGUUGGUGAUGGACAGGGAGGCCUGGUGUGCUGCAAUUCAUGGGGUCGCAGAGUCAGACACGACUGAGCGACUGAACUGAACUGAACUGAAUAUAUUUAUCUAUGUGAAUGUAGGAUAUUCGUUUUUCUCUUUCUGGCCCUUCACUCUGUGUGACAGGCUCUAGGUUAAUUCACAUACUACAGCUGAUUCAAGUCCAUUCCUUUCUGUGGCUGAGUAAUAUUCCACUGUGUAUACGUGCCACACUGUCUUUAUCCACUCAUCUGCCGACAGACAUCUAGGUUGCUUCCACUUCUGGCUGUUGUAAUAGCGCUGCAGUGCGCACUGCGAUACACGUGCCUUUUUGAAUUAUGAUGUUCUCAGGGUUAUUCUCAGGAAUGGGAUUGCUUCUGGCAAGAAGGUUGUUUACUUCCAGGUCCUCAGGGAUGAAAAUAGCAGCAAGUGAGAACCGGGCCCUGUUGUUGGAGAUGUGAGGGCUUAAAUCUCAUUCUGAUGACUGGUUUGGACCCUGGUUGGUGCCCCAGCGAGACAGUGUGUGUGUGCUUGUGUGUGUGCUCAGUCAUGUCCGACUCUUUGCAACCCCAUGGAAUGUAUAGCCCGCCAGGCUCCUCUAUCCAUGGGAUUUCCCAGGCAAGAAUACUGCAGUGGGCUGCCAUUUCCUUCUCCAGGGGAUAUUCCUGAAUCAGGGACUGAAUCCAUGUCUCCUGUUUGGCAGGCGUAUUCUUCACCAUUGAGCCACCAGGGACGCCAGCAGACGGCAGCUGGAUGAUAUGUAUGGUGAGCUUGACCCGAGCUCUAGUUUUCUCCUCUGCUUCUCUCCUCCUCCCUCCUCGCCUACUCAUCCUUACUCUGAAAGUCUAGGCCUUGGGAGGCAUUAGGUUGAGGGGAGAUCAGGAAGAAGGUUGGAAGGAAUUCUUCCGUACUUUAUAGCAAGCAGCUCUGGCAAUACCACGUUCCGUCAGCCACUGGUGACCAGCAUUGAAGAGCGUGGAUCCCCUAGCUGUUUCUUUCACUGGAUGAGCACUGGGGUAGUUUUGAGAUGAACUGGCUAUUGUUAGAAACAUUUAGAAAAGUCUCCCCUUUCCUCCAAUUUCCUCCUCUCUGCCAGUCUCAGCUCUCACAGCUGGAAGAAAUUUCUCCUUCAUCUGCUGUAUUCAGUCUUUCACUAAGCUCCAUCAAUUUUGCCUUUGAAAAUUUUUUUUGUACCCGCCCCUUCUCUCGUUCCCACUGCUAAUCCCCGAGGCCUGGCUCUCAUUCCCUUUGCAUGCCGAGCUGCCUCCAGCACCUCUUGGCAGAGUUCCCUGCCUCUGGUCUCUCCGUUUUCAAUCCAAGCCAGUCUCUUCUCUCUCAAGCUCCGUGUGCAUCUUAGGAUGCCUCAGUUCAAAUUCUGCAGACUCUCCAAAGCACUUGGCAUCGCCUAGAUGGCUUUUGCAGCUCCCACUGCCUUAAUUUCUUCUCAGAGCAGGGUUGUAUUAGUUACCUGUGGCUGCUGUAACAAGUUACCACAAACAUGGUGGCUUAGAACCACCAAAAGUUGUCCUCUUAGAGUGUGGGAGACCAGAAAUCUCAACUGUCUUAGGGACCUAAUCAAAGUGUCAGCGGGGCUGCGCUUCCUUGGCAAGGCUCCAGGGGAGAAUCCCUUUCCUGCCUCUUGCAGCUUCUGGUGGCCACUGACGUUCUCAGCUUGUGGCAUAUCACUCCUCUGCCUCUGCAGUCAGUCUUCCUGCCUCUGAGGUCAUUUUGUCUUCCCCUGAUCUGUCUGUGUAUCAAAUAUCCUUCUUAAAUGGAUUGUACUUUGAGCAAGUCUGGAUUAUCCAGAAUAAUCUCCCCAUCUCAAAAUCCUUAAAUUUAUCACAUCUGGAAAAUCCCUUUUGCCAACUAAAGUGAUAUUCACAGGCUCCUGCCAGGGUCCUCUGUCCAUGGGAUUUUCCAGGCAAGAGUACUGGAGUGGGCUGCCAUUUCCUUCUCCAGGGGAUCUUCCCAACCCAGGGAUCGAACCUGGGUCUUCCACAUUGUAGGCAGAUCCUUUUACUGUCUGAGCCACCAGGGAAGUAGAUAUCUUGGGGGACCAUUUUCUAGCCUAUCUCAGGCUUCUUAUCCAUUCAACACUUCAACAAAUAUCUAUUGAGCGCCUACUGUGUGCUGGGCUGUGUUCUAGGCAACGAGGUUCAUAAAGAGCGUUUUUUUUCAGACCCAUUAGCCCUCAGGGUGAAUGACGCUUAUCUCGGCUGUUUACCUCCUGGUGCUUGGCUGUUCAGUUGCUAAGUGAUGUUCUGCUUUUUGCAGCCCCCUGGACUGCAGCUCACCAGGCUCGUCUGUCCAUGGGACUUUCCAGGCAAGAAUACUGGAAUGGGCCGUCAUUUCUUCAAGGGGAUCUUCCUGACCCAGGGAUGGAACCCUCAUCUCCUGAGUCUCCUGCAUUGGCAGGUGGAUUCUUUCCCACUGUGCCACCCAGGAAGCCUUCCCACCUGGAAUGCGGUAUUUUUACAUAGCAGGAUCACCACAUUGUAUCACUGUUACAUGCCUGUCCCCUUCCAUUUCUAUGAGCCCCUUGAAGAUUACGCUAACUUACUUAUAUUUGUACUGAAUGCUAGAUGGGACUCAGUGAAGGUUUGUUAAAUCAAUGAACAAGUCUCUUAUGGCUUCCCUUCAUUCCUGCUGAAUAUAUUUCUAAUUUCCUUGGAUGCUAUGUGAAAUCACUCAGUUGUGUCUGACUCUUUGCAAGCCCAUGGACUAUAGCCUGCCAGGCUCCUCUGUCCAUGGAAUUCUCCAGGCAAGAAUAUUGAUGUGGGAUGCCAUUUCCUUCUCCAAUAAUACAGUUCUGUCUCAGAAUUAAAUAUUUAGGGUCUGGCCUUCUUGGUGGUUGUCUCCUUGGGCCUGGGUCAAGGGAUAUAGCUGUUGAGGGCAUAUGCUGUCCUACUUUGCUCCAUCCCUGGAAGUGUUAUAUACAAUUGUUUCUUCAAUGCUUCCCACUAGCAAUUUCUAUUGCCCAUUGGCUUUGGGAGGAUUGUGAGAGAGAGGAAGUGGAAACAUUAGAAGACUGUGGUCCUCAUCACUCCUGGGUCACAUUUUCCUGAGGGCUUUACUUCUUGGUGUCAUCCAAGCAUGGCUCAUCUAUAGCUACCACCUCUGGUAGGACAGCACAGUUCAGAUCUGGUAAGACAGUGCUCUUUGCUUCCCUUGGCAGAUGAGAUGAAUCAUCUCCUUUGUAGGGCCUUUUCCCACAAGACCUAACAUAAUACAGAAGAGGGACAGACUGUACUCUGUAUGGCCUUGUGAUGUUGGUUUACAAUUUUAAAGUUAAUCCUUGUUUCCCUGUCUUAGGAAAGCAAAAAUGUAUUUAGUAUAAUAAAUUAGUGGUGCCACUGGAGGCUGGUGAAUCUGUACACAGCCCUUGGAAAUGUGGGGCAUGGUUGUAACCAAAUGUCUAGAAAAAAGCAUUUUGAA
rnacentral:lncRNA from 1 species